AUUGAACGCUGGCGGCAGGCCUAACACAUGCAAGUCGAGCGGAUGAAGGGAGCUUGCUCCUGGAUUCAGCGGCGGACGGGUGAGUAAUGCCUAGGAAUCUGCCUGGUAGUGGGGGAUAACGUCCGUAAACGGGCGCUAAUACCGCAUACGUCCUGAGGGAGAAAGUGGGGGAUCUUCGGACCUCACGCUAUCAGAUGAGCCUAGGUCGGAUUAGCUAGUUGGUGGGGUAAAGGCCUACCAAGGCGACGAUCCGUAACUGGUCUGAGAGGAUGAUCAGUCACACUGGAACUGAGAAACGGUCCAGACUCCUACGGGAGGCAGCAGUGGGGAAUAUUGGACAAUGGGCGAAAGCCUGAUCCAGCCAUGCCGCGUGUGUGAAGAAGGUCUUCGGAUUGUAAAGCACUUUAAGUUGGGAGGAAGGGCAGUAAGUUAAUACCUUGCUGUUUUGACGUUACCAACAGAAUAAGCACCGGCUAACUUCGUG
rnacentral:rRNA from 1 species